rnacentral:rRNA from 1 species
UGUAUCCUACGGGAGGCAGCAGUGGGGAAUAUUGCACAAUGGGGGAAACCCUGAUGCAGCGACGCCGCGUGAACGAGGAAGGUCUUCGGAUCGUAAAGUUCUGUUGAAGGGGAAAAAGAGCGGAGAGAGGAAAUGGUCUCCGAUUGAUAUUACCCUUCGAGGAAGUCACGGCUAACUACGUGCCAGCAGCCGCGGUAAUACGUAGGGGGCAAGCGUUAUCCGGAUUUACUGGGUGUAAAGGGAGCGUAGACGGUCCUGCAAGCCAGAUGUGAAAGCCCGGGGCGCAACCCCGGUACUGCAUUUGG